rnacentral:rRNA from 1 species
GAUGAACGCUGGCGGCGUGCCUAAUACAUGCAAGUCGAGCGAACAGACGAGGAGCUUGCUCCUCUGACGUUAGCGGCGGACGGGUGAGUAACACGUGGAUAACCUACCUAUAAGACUGGGAUAACUUCGGGAAACCGGAGCUAAUACCGGAUAAUAUAUUGAACCGCAUGGUUCAAUAGUGAAAUACGGUUUUGCUGUCACUUAUAGAUGGAUCCGCGCCGCAUUAGCUAGUUGGUAAGGUAACGGCUUACCAAGGCAACGAUGCGUAUCCGACCUGAGAGGGUGAUCGGCCAAACGGGAAGUGAGACACGGACAAGACGACUACGGGAGGCAGCAGUAGGGAAUGUUACGCAGUGGGCGAAAGCAUGACGGAGCAACGCCGCGUGAGUGAUGAAGGUCUUCGGAUCGUAAAACUCUGUUAUUAGGGAAGAACAAAUGUGUAAGUAACUAUGCACGUCUUGACGGUAACUAAUCAGAAAGCCACGGCUAACUACGUG